rnacentral:lncRNA from 1 species
CUAAUGCUCUAGAGUCCCCCUGGGCUGGCCUCAGGAUUGCAAGCAGUGCGAGGGCCUGGUCUCGGCCCUGGUCUCAGCCCUAUCCAGAUGUCCGAGGCAGAUGGACCACCCGCUGAGCGUCAGAAAUGGGUGCCAGAAUGGACUUGGUCUUUGAGAAGAGAUCCAAGGUUCCCUGAGUAAUGUUCCAUGCCAAUCUCCACUCCCCACCAGCAGCACCCAAGUCCUGGGAGACCAAGUGAUCCCGUCCCUGAGGUGGUAAGCAGUCACACCAGGGAUGGAACCAGCCUUCCUGUCCCAGGAGACCCUGCCUUGGGAACCCCCAUCCAGCGGCCCUGGGUUCUAGUCCCACCAUGUGCCUGUUGCCUCCAGGGACUCCAGAUUUUCCUGUUUGCUCUUGGCCUUCUGCCCACCCACCCCACUGCCAUGGGCCCAAAGCAGCCGGGUUCCCUGGAGAUCCUGUCUUCCACCUAGUGCAGGGCAUGAGGCCGGGGCCAGGACAGCCGGACCAGGCCCUGGGGCUUCUGGGAGCUGACUCACCUUGCAGGGAGUCCCACCACCACCUUCUGGGGCCCCACACGGUCCCAUGCUGGAACACACAUCCCUGUGUGUAAUUUUUUUUAUUUCAUGCAGCAUUAAUUAAAAAAAUAAAGAUAGCAUGUCACUUGCAAA